GUAGUGGCGCAGUGGCAGUAUCAUAACCAAUGAAGUUAAUCUGAGGUGUGAUUAUUGCUAGUUGAAAACUUUUCAAGAUGUGGGCAUACCAUGGAUUUAUAUAGAGGCAAAACGAUAUUUUUUAUUACUUUUCUUAAUGA